rnacentral:snoRNA from 10 species
ACCGCACACAAUUAAAGCCCGGCACUGAUCAAUCAGUGUUUGGGUGUCGGAAGUGUGCCACAGAAACCAGGCCGGGUUUCGCUGACAACCACGAGGGCUGCGCCCGCUGAAUGGUCGUUUGAUAGUGACCCGAGCCACANNN